AUGCAUUUUGUAUUUCCAGUCCAGAUGCAUAGCUGCUUCUCAAUGAUAAAAAUUUACUACUUCUUCAUCCUCUUGAAGACCCUCUUGCAACUCCAGCAUCAAAGAGAUAUAAUAACUAAUUGCACUUCUCGUUCCUGCCACCAUGUGAAGAAAAACAUGUUUGCUUCCCCUUCUGCCAUGACUGUAAGCUUCCUGAGGCAACCCAGCCAUGCUGAACUAAUUGAAGCCAAAAUAUGUGAAAUGGAUACUGGAGGGCCAGAGUUUAUUCAUCACAAGUUUGAGUCUAAAUAUCAGCAUUUAUUUUUCAUACCACCUUCUCUAACUGAAGUGACCUCCACUUAAAGUAUUUAAUACCUAAACCGAGAAGGCAUGGUGUUCCCAGAAGAGCUUGGUAUCUCCAAGUAGAGGAAUCUGAAAGCCAACAGGCUCGUCCUCUUUCUGCUAUUGGCUAGAUGGUCAAAGAGCAUCAAUUAUUCUGCAAUUUUCAGAGCAGGUGAUCUUGUGGCUCUUAUUUCUGUGUUAUUAAAACAUUAAAUGUAUAACUUGAUUUGUGUGCUGGCUCUAUUGGUUACUUGUGUGUGACUCUAGAAAGUAUUACUUAAAUGUUAAGAAUCAUUUUCUUCCCUUGUUAAAUGUGCAUGAUAAAAGUAGCAUGUUUAUGAGAUUAAUUUUUGGGUUCAAAUCUCAAAUCUGGCCAUUACUUUACAGCUCUGGAAAACACAGAGAAUCCCAAAAAGUUGGUCACAAAAAGUGUUUGUACACUGUGUGUCAGAUUCUGAGAAUCUCUCUAGACUGUGAUGCUGAUACAGAUUGUUAUACAAAACUGUACAAUGAUCUUGGUACAACUUCUUGUGACUGAUACAAGAGACUGCUCAAAAAAAGAUGCAAACAUGUCAAAACACACAGAUGCUGAAGAUAUUUCUGUGAACCAAAUCUGAGAAAAUUUAAUCAUCAAAGGCAUCAUGCUGGUAAGGGAUUAUAACACAUCAAAUAAAACAGGAAAAUAAAUCUAGAGUGAUAUAAAUUAAUACUUGAAUAAAUUGGAAAUUUUAUAAAGACAAGAAAUUUACAUAGUUUCACAUAAACUCCUCAUAAAAUAUUUAUUAAUUACAAAGGAAAAACUUGUGACUUUUGAUUGGUAGUUUGGCAAAUAACACCUUAACUUAGUGAUUGAAGUGAUCACUACUACUGGGACAAAUGUAAAUAGUGCACCACCAAAUAGGACUCAAAGAGAAUAUAGCAUAAAUUCUGUGAUAUUCUUGCUAAAGAGGCAAAACCUGAAUCAUAUGAAGAAAUAUUGGACAGAUCUAAGUUGAGGAACAUUUAAUAAAAGAAUUAGCCUGUGAAGUUCAGAUUCAUUGGAUCAUAAAAGUUAAGGAAUAACUGAAGAAUUGUUUGAAGUUGGAGGUGACUAAAGAAACUUGAAAACUAAAUGGAACACAUGAUUCUGAAUUGAAUUAUCUGGCUUUAAAAGACAUUGAAAAGUUUAGAAUGAAUUUUGAAUCUUAGAUAGUAACAUGUCAAUGUAUAUUGCCUAACUUGAUGGUUGUAUUAAGGUUGACUAGUAGAAUAUAGCAUUUUGUAUGUAAUAUUUAGAAAAGGAUUUUUACUGAUAGGGUAUUAGGUAUACAACAUACUUUCAAAUGGUUCAUAAAUAGAAUAGUGCUAUAUUUGCAAUCUAUUUUGUACAUUUGAGAAGUUUUUGAAACAAAACUUCCAUUUAUUUUAUUAUGAACUUUAAAAAAAGUGUCUUCC
ensembl:lncRNA